rnacentral:misc_RNA from 1 species
AGAAAGCAUGAGAAAGAUGCGCUGGUGUUUCUUGCUCUUUGCUUACCGUGUCUAUCUUUAUUGUUGUUGAAUUUUACUUGUUCCUUGAAUUGAAUAUUAACCCAUCUCCACUGUGAUAAUAUUGGGCAAUUGGAAGGGCAAUUUGGUAAUUUGAAAAAGGGUUUAUUGGGGAUGGUGCAAAGGGUUUUAAACUGGAGUGGUCAAAGUGAUGGGGUCGAAUCCUACCUUGCACCUACAGUAAGUAGAGUAUUUUUUGUUUUUUUUUUGACCUAUUUCUAGUGGCUGCCUGCUUUUGGGACCUUCUAUUGUCUGCUUGCUCAGGCCCAAAGCACAGGUUUAUAUCAGUAUCACUGCGAUAUUUGGGGCCAAUUUGCCUUGGAUCUCUCGUUGCCUUGAGAAUGACUUUCUUCUUAUUUGUGUCAAGGAAUUUACCAUUUUAUUUCUG